rnacentral:rRNA from 1 species
CAAAGAUUAAGCCAUGCAUGUGACCUGCCAGUAGUC